AAACAGGAGAAAGGACACAGCACAAUGAUCAGGAUCAGGACAAUGAUGAAGAAGCAUCACUCCUUAUUCUGGCUGAGAAUCCGCAGAUGGUUGUUGCUGAUCAUACUGACGACAAACCGAAGGGUGAUGCUGGAAAGAAACUCGCUGAUCAUACUAACAAAAAAGCGAAGGGUGCUGCUGGAGAGAAACUCGCUGAUCAUACUGACAAAAAAGCGAAUAGUGAUGCUGGAGAUAAACUCGCUGAUCAUACUGAC